GAGUUUGAUCAUGGCUCAGAUUGAACGCUGGCGGCAUGCCUUACACAUGCAAGUCGAACGGUAACGGGUCCUUCGGGAUGCCGACGAGUGGCGAACGGGUGAGUAAUAUAUCGGAACGUGCCCAGUAGUGGGGGAGUAACUGCUCGAAAGAGCAGCUAAUACCGCAUACGACCUGAGGGUGAAAGGGGGGGAUCGCAAGACCUCUCGCUAUUGGAGCGGCCGAUAUCAGAUUAGCUAGUUGGUGGGGUAAAGGCCUACCAAGGCAACGAUCUGUAGUUGGUCUGAGAGGACGACCAGCCACACUGGGACUGAGACACGGCCCAGACUCCUACGGGAGGCAGCAGUGGGGAAUUUUGGACAAUGGGCGCAAGCCUGAUCCAGCAAUGCCGCGUGCAGGAAGAAGGCCUCGGUUGUAACU
rnacentral:rRNA from 1 species